rnacentral:rRNA from 1 species
UUUGCCUGUUUUAUCAAAAACAUGGCCUUUUGGUUUUAAUUUGAUAAAAGGUUUGACCUGCCCGGUGAUUUUAAAAAGUUUAACGGCUGCGGUUUUGUACUAAGGUAGCAUAAUAAUUUGCCUUUUAAGUGGGGGAUGGAAUGAAUGGUUGGAUGGUAAAGAAGCUGUGUUUUUGAUAUUUGGUGAAGUUUACUUUAAAGUGAAAAGGCUUUAAUUGUUUUAAAAGACGAGAAGACCCCGUCGAGCUUGAUUUAAAGUUUUGUUUUGGUGGUGAGUAAGGUUUUAAAGUUUUGUUGGGGCAAUAAUAACAGAUAAACGUUGUUUAAUUUUGAAUUUUGAUCCAGUAAGAUUGAAAAAAGAAAAAGCUACCGCGGGGAUAACAGGGUAAUUUUUUUUGAGAGUUCAAAUCUAAAAUGGAGAUUGCUACCUCGAUGUUGGAUUAGGGUAGUUUUAUGCUUGCAGGAGGUAUAAUAAA